rnacentral:rRNA from 1 species
GUGCCAGCCGCCGCGGUAAUACCGGCAGCCCGAGUGAUGACCGAUCUUAUUGGGCCUAAAGCGUCCGUAGCUGGCUACGCAAGUCCGUCGGGAAAUCCACUCGCUCAACGAGUGGCCGUCCGGUGGAAACUCCACACCUUGGGACCGGAAGGCUCGAAGGGUACGUUCGGGGUAGGAGUGAAAUCCCAUAAUCCCGCACGGACCACCGAUGGCGAAAGCACUUCGAGAAAACGGAUCCGACAGUGAGGGACGAAAGCGAAGAUCGCGAACCGGAUUAGAAACCCGGGUAGUCC